CACGCUUCCAUUAUACUCGUAUAAUAUAUAAAAGGAGCAAGGCUACAAAUGAGGCUAUUUAUUAAGGCUAUAAAAAAAAGAGAUGAUGGCAUGCAUAAAAUAAAAACAAAUGACGUCAACGAGGCUGUCACCGAAGCACGUGCUGAACCAACCUACCGCCCGCGACGAAGUCAGUUCAGUUAGGAUCCGAAUCGGAGGCGGCAAGUUGUUCCAACACUUCGUCGCUGCAUAGCGGACACUACCAUGGAACGCUGCAGAUCGAUG